AUUUGGCUACGCCCACCACGGAAGUCUGUCACCGAGGAGAGCGAUGCUGAGCUAUGGAGAGCGGCAUUGUUUGUAAGAUGAUUCUUCACUAGAGGUUACAUUGAAGUCAGGCAAUGACAGGAAGGAUGGCUGGGGAUUCCAAGAUCUGAUAAAGAAAAGUUACAUGAAGAUACUUGGACUACUCAUGGGACCAAAGAGCUAUUACACCAACUCCAGUCUGGAUCCUGUCUCUAUCAGAUGACCCUACACAUAAGGAAAGUUGACAUCGGCCAUCACAAGGACUUCAAAACUGUUCAAAGCGCUAUACAAAUAAAUGUGAACAAAAUUGAAUUGUUUGAAGUCAACAGCAGAGAUGAGGAUGCCACACAAUGCAUCCUCUCCACAACAGAUCUUGCAUUACAAAGUGAUAUUGACAUCUUUCUUGGCCUCUCUGAUUACAAUCCUCCCAAUCAUUCCUGCAACACAAGAAGCACACAUUACUUUUAUGUCACAAAUCACAGUUUGUCAUUAAAGUCUGGUCUACCUGCUACUUUUAAAAGAUCUUCGUAUCAAAAUGUCUUAAAUACUGGAUUUUAUUAAUUAAUUUUGUUUAGUUACCAAUAUAUUUAUUUACAUUUACACAUUUUUUCAUAUUCAUUCAUUUUAUCCUAAACUAUUUUGCUUGUUGUUUCAUUACUGCAGAUUAUUUAUGUUGGGUGACGCAUUGUCUUCAUAAGUAGAUAUAGGUAUAUCAGUGGUCUUCUCCGGCUAAAGAUUUUUGAUAAUUUCAUAAGACAAAGUAGCAUUGUGUAAUACUUUAUAUGUUGUUUAAAAUAUGGGUAACACUUUACAAUAAGGUUCAUUAGUUAACAUUAGUUAACUACAUUAAUUAAUGUGAACUAAUAAUCAACUGCACUUAUACAGCAUUUAUUCAUCUUUGUUAAUGUUAAUUUCAACAAUAACUAAUACUUUUAUUAAAAUUUUGUUAAUGUUAGUUAAGGCACUGUGAACUAACAUGAACAAGCAAAUAAAGCUUUAUUUAUAUUAACUAACGUUAACAAAGAUUAAUAAAUACUGUAACAAAUGUAUUGCUCAUGGUUUGUUCAUGUUAGUUAAUACAUUAACUAAUAUUAACUAAUGAACCUUAUUGUAAAGUGUUACCAGUGCAGCUAAGAUUAUUCAAUAAACCAUUUUUAUUUUAUUCUUUAUCAUUUUGUCCCCUGCCUGAUGCUCUCAUCUCUGUCUACCUUGUGGUUGAGUAAAAGCAUUAACUCACCACAGAGUUGUCUAUCUUUAAGCAAUGGACAAAGUCAUUUUCCUGACUAAGAGAGGUCUAGUGAAACUAAGAACUAGUGAACUGGUCUUGCUCCUUGUAUCGGUUUAAUCUAACAUGUUUGGCAUAGUCAUAUUUGGAUCUAUCAAUGUCAUUAAAUACCCACCUGAUCUUA